rnacentral:rRNA from 1 species
GACGAACGCUGGCGGCGUGCCUAAUACAUGCAAGUAGAACGCUGAAGGAGGAGCUUGCUUCUCUGGAUGAGUUGCGAACGGGUGAGUAACGCGUAGGUAACCUGCCUGGUAGCGGGGGAUAACUAUUGGAAACGAUAGCUAAUACCGCAUAAUAGUAGAUGUUGCAUGACAUUUGCUUAAAAGGUGCAAUUGCAUCACUACCAGAUGGACCUGCGUUGUAUUAGCUAGUUGGUGGGGUAACGGCUCACCAAGGCGACGAUACAUAGCCGACCUGAGAGGGUGAUCGGCCACACUGGGACUGAGACACGGCCCAGACUCCUACGGGAGGCAGCAGUAGGGAAUCGUCGGCAAUGGACGGAAGUCUGACCGAGCAACGCCGCGGGAGUGAAGAAGGUUUUCGGAUCGUAAAGCUCUGUUGUAAGAGAAGAACGAGUGUGAGAGUGGAAAGUUCACACUGUGACGGUAUCUUACCAGAAAGGGACGGCUAACUACGUG